UUGAAAUCCUGGUGUUAAGGACUUUUAGAGUAAAGUGUUAAUUUUCUGGUGUUGAAUUUCAAGGGAUUAACACUGCUAGUGUAAACCACACUCUCUGGCUGGUGAAAAUAUGUGGAGUUAUACACCAGAGAUGCUUUGAGAACACCGAGAGUGUUACUAGUCACAUCCGGGACAUUUACGCGCUGGGCGGGACGAAACGAGUUGAAACUUUCUUCACAGGCGCCAUGUUCUUUGACUCGAGUCGCAAGACAUGCGAGGAGGAAACACGCAUUUAUUAUGCGUUAAAUCGCAUUUAUAUAUUCAUUUUAUAACACCAUAUUGUUUUAUAACAAUAUGUAUGUGCUGUGGACGAGCAAACCGCUCUCAGAAGGGGUAUUUUCUAUGACGCGCGAUGCGGAGCAGACCAGGAUGGGUUUGCUUUUUAACAGGGAAACAACGAAAACGACAUCAUCUUUGAAACACGGAGCUGACGAGGAGGAGGCUUGUAGCUAACGUUAACAGGGAAACACCUAAAUCUAGGUCCUGCAUCUUCUUUGACUCGUGACCUGCUCGUGACGCAUUUCAAAAAGCAGUGCAGAGUGCAGACACGGAGUUUGCUUUUAACAAUAAAAACACCGAUUAACAGACCUAACGUUAACGUAUAAAACAGAAGAACAACUCCACAAACUGCGGACCAACAAUGCACGUGGAAUUUGCACUUUAUUUCCUUAUUUGGAGGACCAAUCUUUUUAGAAUGGGAGCAUUUCUAUGAUGCACUAUGAUUUCUAUGAAGUGACUAAGGGUACCAGGCUUGGUGUUUAAAGACUGUACAGACUAGAACCUGGUGAUGGAAAGAGAACAGAUAAGUUAACAUAUGAGAGAAUCA